GUAGACAAACUCAUCCUUCUCUGUUAGUUGAAUUGCCCCAUUCAGGAUCACAAUCUUUCCAUGCGCGGGUGACUGAAAUACAAAAAGAUCCUGGUAUUCUGACUUGCCAUGAAAGAGGACCUUUUCCACCUUGAACAAAUGUGCCUCUCCUGGCCAUCCAUAGGGAACAUCAGCAUACCAUCCUGGAAUGUUAAGAGAAACACCAUUACAAUUACUGGGUUUAUGGUUCUCCAUUUCAAUAGUAUAUGGUGAACAAAAGAGAUGAGUAGCCUGAUCAAUCUCUUCUACAUGUAUUGUGUUAGAUUCAGCAGAAGCAAAACCAUUCUCUGCGGCCAUUGAUUUUCUCCUUGAUUCGCU
rnacentral:misc_RNA from 1 species